rnacentral:rRNA from 1 species
UCGCUCCUACCGAUUGAGUGAUCCGGUGAAUAAUUUGGACUGUUGCGAUCCAGUUAAUGGUUUCGCGGCGGGAAGUUUAGUAAACCUGAUCACUUAGAGGAAGGAG